AUGAACGCUGGCGGCGUGCCUAAUACAUGCAAGUCGAGCGAACAGACGAGGAGCUUGCUCCUUUGACGUUAGCGGCGGACGGGUGAGUAACACGUGGAUAACCUACCUAUAAGACUGGGAUAACUUCGGGAAACCGGAGCUAAUACCGGAUAACAUGUUGAACCGCAUGGUUCAACAGUGAAAGACGGUCUUGCUGUCACUUAUAGAUGGAUCCGCGCCGCAUUAGCUAGUUGGUAAGGUAACGGCUUACCAAGGCAACGAUGCGUAGCCGACCUGAGAGGGUGAUCGGCCACACUGGAACUGAGACACGGUCCAGACUCCUACGGGAGGCAGCAGUAGGGAAUCGUCCGCAAUGGGCGAAAGCCUGACGGAGCAACGCCGCGUGAGUGAAGAAGGUCUUCGGAUCGUAAAACUCUGUUAUUAGGGAAGAACAAAUGUGUAAGUAACUAUGCACGUCUUGACGGUACCUAAUCAGAAAGCCACGGCUAACUACGUG
rnacentral:rRNA from 1 species